AGACCCGAAACCCGGUGAUCUAGCCAUGGGCAGGUUGAAGGUUGGGUAACACUAACUGGAGGACCGAACCGACUAAUGUUGAAAAAUUAGCGGAUGACCUGUGGCUGGGGGUGAAAGGCCAAUCAAACCGGGAGAUAGCUGGUUCUCCCCGAAAGCUAUUUAGGUAGCGCCUCGUGAAUUCAUCUCCGGGGGUAGAGCACUGUUUCGGCUAGGGGGCCAUCCCGGCUUACCAACCCGAUGCAAACUGCGAAUACCGGAGAAUGUUAUCACGGGAGACACACGGCGGGUGCUAACGUCCGUCGUGAAGAGGGAAACAACCCAGACCGCCAGCUAAGGUCCCAAAGUCAUGGUUAAGUGGGAAACGAUGUGGGAAGGCCCAGACAGCCAGGAUGUUGGCUUAGAAGCAGCCAUCAUUUAAAGAAAGCGUAAUAGCUCACUGGUCGAGUCGGCCUGCGCGGAAGAUGUAACGGGGCUAAACCAUGCACCGAAGCUGCGGCAGCGAACGUAUCACCCAAGACAACUUUACGGAGUUGACGAUUGACGGAGCGAAGCGACGUCAAAGCGUUCAUUAAAGUCGAGUUGGCUUAGGGAUACGUUCGUUGGGUAGGGGAGCGUUCUGUAAGCCUGUGAAGGUGUGUCGUGAGGCAUGCUGGAGGUAUCAGAAGUGCGAAUGCUGACAUAAGUAACGAUAAAGCGGGUGAAAAGCCCGCUCGCCGGAAGACCAAGGGUUCCUGUCCAACGUUAAUCGGGGCAGGGUGAGUCGACCCCUAAGGCGAGGCCGAAAGGCGUAGUCGAUGGGAAACGGGUUAAUAUUCCCGUACUUGGUGUUACUGCGAAGGGGGGACGGAGAAGGCUAUGUUGGCCGGGCGACGGUUGUCCCGGUUUAAGCGUGUAGGUGUGUGUUCCAGGUAAAUCCGGUUCACUUUAACACUGAGGCGUGACGACGAGGCACUACGGUGCUGAAGCAACAAAUGCCCUGCUUCCAGGAAAAGCCUCUAAGCAUCAGGUAACACGAAAUCGUACCCCAAACCGACACAGGUGGUCAGGUAGAGAAUACCAAGGCGCUUGAGAGAACUCGGGUGAAGGAACUAGGCAAAAUGG
rnacentral:rRNA from 1 species